rnacentral:lncRNA from 13 species
CCAGCCUGAAGGCAUCAAAAGACUAAAAUGAAGCUUUCAAGUGGCAUGCAGAUGGAAGAAAAAUUGGUUUGAACUCCAGCUCAGCUGAUUACUUGAAGGUCUUCCUAUGUUGCCUAGGCUGGAGUGUGGUUGCUAUUCAUAGGUGAUCAUAGUGCACUACAGCCUUGAACUCCUGGGCUCCAGUGAUCCUCCUGCCUCAGCCUCUCCAGUAGCUGGGACUACAGGGAAGGCAAUAAUCAUCCGAAAUGGGAAAACUUUGUGACUUUUGGUUGCUCUGAGAAGAAGCCUGGACAACAGAUCAAAAAGAAGAAGCCCUUUUCUGCUGUUAUUGCAAACUUGGCCUUUCCCAGCAUAGUUGGUGUUUGUGGGCUAAAGAGGAACUCUGAGCUCAGUUCCCUUUGCUCUCAUUUGAGUCCUCUGCAUAGAUGGUAAGAUUUUCAGAGCCUUCUAAUGCUCUCUUUUAUUGCCCUAUUGUUGGGCUCAAAGUAGAUACCAUUAAUUAUUACU